rnacentral:lncRNA from 1 species
GUAGUGGGAGUCGAAAGAGCUGGAAAAGUCACAGUAGAUAUGGGAGAUUUGUGAGCAGCGUCUGGGGAAGUGGAACCCUAGGAGCAAAUCAUCACCACCACCGUCAUCGUCACUGCCGCGGCGAUCGCGAAGCUCUGUGUGAAGAGACAGCGGAGAAACAUGAACGAGCUCAUGCGGGAGCGAGAGCACUAGAUGGCAGCAUAGGACAUCUAUUGGGCCGUCUCUCUCCACAGGCUGCUGGAAUUUUGACAGAUACAAAACGAGACACAAAUCUGGCCUCUUCCUUCUUACUCGUCACCUAUAAAAUGGGCCUCUUAGGCCCGAACAAUCAGCCUGCAGGUCUGGGCUCAGUACACACUGUCAUCUUGUUCUCUUUAGUUGGAGCUGAUUCAUUUUCUUGGUUAGAGCAGGCUGCUGUCUGA